GAUGAAGAACGCAGCGAAAUGCGAAAAGUAAUGUGAAUUGCAGAAUUCAGUGAAUCAUCGAAUCUUUGAACGCACAUUGCGCCCGCUGGUACUCCGGCGGGCACGCCUGUCCGAGCGUCAUUGCUGCCCUCAAGCACGGCUUGUGUGUUGGGCCUCCGUCCUCCUCCCGGGGGACGGGCCCGAAAGGCAGCGGCGGCACCGCGUCCGGUCCUCGAGCGUAUGGGGCUUCGUCACCCGCUCUUGUAGGCCCGGCCGGCGCUUGCCGACACAUCAAUCUUUUUUCCAGGUUGACCUCGGAUCAGGUAGGGAUACCCGCUGAACUUAAGCAUAUCAAUAAGCGGAGGA
rnacentral:misc_RNA from 1 species